AGAUUGAUUCUUUGACGAUGGAGCUAGCGAGCGAGGCUUUCACGGCAAUAAGAACACCGCCGCCAGAGGAUUUAUCGGCAUUGGACAAUGUACGAUCGCAACGAAAACAUAAAUAUCAUAGUCAUGUUCGAGGGACGACAAGAACACUGACUGCAAUCGAUUAGCACCGCGGAUGCUGUUCAUGUUUUGGAAAAGAAACGGACGUAGAGGAGGUGGGAGAAUUUGAGAACGUUGGCGGAGAAACGAUGACGGGUGCGUGCAAAUUGAGACUAGGGCUCGAAACGAAAGACCUCAGGGCGUGUGGAACGAGCAAAUUCGAACUCUCGGAAAUAUAUACCCUUUUGCCACGACGUGGCCAGCAGUGCCUUUUCUCUUAAAUCCAUUUGUACACCGACCUUGAAGGAAACGAAGGACAAUUCCUCAAGUUUUCGACCCUUAGGAAUGAGCUUAA